GACCUGAGGGGCUAGAUAUCUUUACUGUUUAUCAGGGCCAAAAUGAUUUCUCUUAACAUUUGAGAUUUUUCAUUCCUCGUGCUUCUUCCAACACAAACCCUUGCAUGUAUUCUCCUAUGAUGUUUUUCAAAUCUUCAAUCUUCCAAAGCUAUCUGCAGGCUAUCAUCUCCAAAUGAAUAUCCCCUCUUCGAGAUAAGCCGAACACAGUCACUUAGAAGGCCUCAAUUAUUCUAUGGUUGGGCCCGUGUAGGAACAGGCGCUCCUUCUCCUCGCUUCACGAACUACCAAGGGGAUUUGGCUCUAAAGCUUGAAGCAUGUCAAGGAAUACUAUUAUAUGUACAGCCUUCUCACACCGCGGAGCUCUUUUCUUACUUGGUUGAGCUUCAGACUUCCCCAGAAACACUCCUGUGUAAAUACCUCAUCGAAGAUUUGGAUGCCUCCUCUGCCUAUGAUAAAGUCAGAUAGAUUGGUGACCCUAAAAAUCAUGCUGGUUACCCAAUUUACCAUCAUCUUCAAUUGGCAUAUGUUAGUUUUCUUAAAAAAUGAAUGCUCUUUGUAGACAAGACAUUAUGUGACCACAUAAAUAUUGUUGGAAAUUAUUUCUUUUCUUUGCACAAGACACAUUAUUUGCACCUUGUAAAGAUUUUAUUUUCAGAUUGUAGGGUGGCUAUGGUAUUUGGGACAAAUCAAUCCGUAAUCGGAUUACAUUAGCCCCUGCCACAGUGAAUUAUUAUGUAAAUUUCAACCUAUCAUGUCCUUCUUCAUCAUAUCAAAGAAUGUUUGGAGAUCUCAGCAAGGAAUUUUUUUUUCCUUCAGUUCGUAUAUCUUUGAAUUCUUUUACCUUUUAACAUAUUGAUCAUUUUCUAUUCCUGUUGUAGGUAGAAUUGGGGUAUGCAGCAUACUAUAAAUCUUGAUUAUUAUUUGAUUUAUUGACUAUCAAAUUUUACUUUUGGACUGCUUUUUUAAUAGUGAUGCGUGAUCAACACGUGUUUUUUCUGUUAAAGAUACGGUGGUUGUCACAAGUUGAUUUUAUAUUGUUCAUUUUGGAUGCAUUUGACAUUCUAGAAUUUGAUUACUUGGAAAUGAAGAUUUGUAUAACUGGGUUGAUUUUGGGGUGGUGACACAUGAUAGAGAAGCAGAUGGACCCAGGUAAAAUUUAGCUCUUAUUGAAAACAAUCAAAAUUCCUUUCCAUUGAAAUUCAUAUUUGAGGAUAAGGAACUUCCCAUCUCCACUAGAGAAAUCAGAAUGAGAGAUAGAACUUGAAUCUCUUUUUUGUGAUUGAAUAUGGGUCUUAGGGAAAGUGAUCCUGGCUGCAUGAAUCCUUCUACAGUAAUUUCAAAUUCUUUCUUGAUUUGAUUUCAGGUAUAUCAUUAGUUUCAGUUUAAAUUGUAAUGAUAUUGUAUUACUAAAUGUUUUAUUUUGUAUGUUUCUUUUUAAAUUUAUUCUGCAAUAGUGAUAAGAAUUGUUAUCACUUUAGUUUAUGCAUUCCUAUAUACAAUUUGGACUAUCACUUUGGUAGGUUCUAAAUGUAAUCUAUUAUUUGGUUCAUUCUGCAUAAACUUGAAGAGAUAUAGUCAUAAAUUAUCUUUGAAAAUUAUUUACCUUUAGAUGUUAAUAUUUAUUUUACUUGAUAAAAAUUAAAAACACGUCUUAGUAGAUUCGCUCUCUAUGAAGUGCUGCAUUUCUAAGUAAUUUUCUUCCUCCUUGAUUGUCUUCCCAGCCUAAUCAACAUGCAAUUAGGAUUUUUCUUAAAGAAGUGUUUUUCCUUCUACAUACCUUGUAGGAAUGUUCGAUUUUCUGACACUAGGCUAGAAUCCAUUUCAUUGUUUGGAAAACUUUUGUAUAUGAAGAUUUGAUAGUGUGUGUUUGCGAUUUUGGGUUAAAUUGAUAUAUGUAGUGCCGUUUCAUUUCAAUGAUGCUUGCAAGUGUUUUUGGUUUAUUAUUUUUAUUUUGGUGUAGAAAAUGGACAAGGGACCGUGCUCGAAGAUACAUUCAUUGCAACUGAGAAAAGAGUUUCUCUAUGUAACGUUGAUAUACAACUUAUGUCAAUUUUUUGUAUGUUUACCUAUUAAUGUUUUGCAAUAGUGAAAUUGUAAUACAAUUUUGUGAAGCUAUUAUUUGUUAACACUUAACAUAAAAUAAUUUUUUAAGUAUAUUAAUAUGGGUCAGACAAGUAUUAAGUUUCAAGAAUAUUAGUGGUUGAUCCUUUGGAAAGUUAUUCUAUAAAAGAAUAUUUCAAAUUAAGUUUUGGUACAAGUGACAAAAUGGAAUUUGAAGAACUGCUCUCUAUUCCUAGAAAAGUGGCCCAUCAUUCAAGGAAUAACUUGUUAUUGAUGAAAGGGAAAACUAGGAUAAUAUCGUUCUUUCCUGUAUGAUUGUUGAAAUAUUUUUGUGCAUAUAUCUCAUUUUGGGAACAAAAAAUCUAUGCUUUAAAACUUUCACUAGACCCCGUUGAUUACCUGUAGUUACUUAUGCAAAUAUUUGUUAACACUAUUGUAAUGCAAACAUUCAUACCUUUGUAACUUGAUAUUCAAGUAGGUAGUGUGAUUCUCUUUCAACCUAACCUUUGAACAAGUGCAAUUUUUUAUGUUGGGAUCCCAUUCAUCAACUUGAUUGAGAAGGAAAAAGAAGAUUUCAGGAUUUGUUGCAGUUUUAAGCUUCAAAGAUAGACUCUGAUGCGAAGGAUGCCGUUAAUGGAAGAAGCAUUACCUGGUGAUUUGGGUUUUAUAUUUUGGCUUGGGAUGUACGUCAAAUUGCAAUGGAUCAUAUGUUUAUAGAUGUGGUGCACAUGCAUUGGGGUUGAACAUCUUUCGAGAGUCUUUAAGCAUAUGCUGAAGGGGUGUUUCUUACUCCAUGUUACCUCUCCUUUCUUUAGUUAUUACAAGUCACCUUUUCGUUUCAUGUUCAGUUUAUUUAGGUUAGACUGUAAUAUAUACCAUCAUAGCACUAUGGUUGUAGCCUAGAUGAAUGAUGCAAACAAUUAUGAUUUUAGUUGGAAUGAGUGUAUGAAAUAUAAAAUAGUAGAAAAAAUAGGGAUCUGAGAUAUGAUCUAUAGACGAAAGAGAACAAUUAAUAAGCUGUCAUCGAGUGCAUAGGGAUUUUUCUUGCUAACCAUACUUGGUUUAUAAGCUUAAUGGCUUUGGAUGCAUACCAUGUCUUUUCCAUAUUUCUCAUUUGUAAGGAACAAAACAUGCCAUUUUAGUAAUGCAUAAUGUCCUGGAGUUGAACAUAGUUCAUAAUUCCUUUAAUUGAUGUGCCACAAAUUUGAAAUUAUUUUGCGUUUCAAUUUUACUUAUCAUUUGUGAGCCAUUACAAAGUUUUAGUUUCUUUUUUAUGGUUGAUGUUGAUUUUCUUUUCGCGGAUGCGCUAGAUAUCAAAUUCCAAGCAUGGACCAUGCACCCUUAAGAUCAUAUUCUGCACAUAUAGAUCUCAGUGUGAAAUUCCAUAGUCAUUAUAGCAGGUAAUCAUGUCUAACCUUGAAUAUGUUACAUAGAUCUGUAUAUAAAUAGGCAUAUAUUAUAUGUAAAUUAUUAUUGUUAUCAUCAUCAGCAUCAUCAUCAUUAUUUGUUUCCUCUCAUUUGUUUUCGCUUGUUCAUGAUAUAUAAUAUAUAGGUGAUUUUGUUUCCUUUUUAAAGGUUUAUAUCAUUAUAUCAUUCAUGUUAAUUGUGUUUUCUAUUGAUUUGGGGACUAUACCAAUUUUGGCUUUUCUUGUUUCCCCUUCCUUAAGGCAAUAAACUUUGUAGAACUUGGAACAAAGAUGAAGUGUUGUAAGGCUACCAAAAAAGUAAACUAUUUGCACAUAACUGGUGUCUUCCAACAAGCUCUUGCCAUUUCUGUUAGAUCUGAUCAAAAAUCAAAACCUAAAUAUUAAUAUGAGCUACUGGAAUGAGUUUCACAAAAUAUCAAUCAAUCACUCUAUAUGUGUGUGGAUCGUUUUCAGGCGACGGUGGUGGUGGAGGAGAGGUGAAUCGGUGUUUUUUUAUGGUGUGGCUGGUGGUAGGAGAAGUGGUGGAAUGGAAUUGGUAGGGUAGAGUCAGUUGUGACCAACUCUUAUAUAAUUGUGACCAAUAAAACAUAUAAAUUGUGACCUAAAAAAUGUAUGAUUUUGUGAUUAUUCGUGAUAGAGAAAUAAAUUAUAUCCAAUUAACUAUUGUGAAAUAAGUUGGGACCUAUAUAUUUUGUGAUCGAGAAAUAAAAUAUGUAACUGUAUGUGAUCAAAUCUGUGUUAACACUGACAUGUAUAACUAGACACCUGGUAACAGUGAAUGUUUGGAACAAAAAAUGUUUACAUUUUAAGUUUGUGAACAAUUAUCUAUCUUGAUUGUGACUAUCUGUGACCAAAUCUAUCUUAAUUGUGAUUGGUGACCAAGUCUGUGUUUAUUGUAACUAUAUGUGACCAAGUCUGUGUUAAUAGUGACAUAUGUUAAAAAAAAAUGUUUGUGACAAACGUUGUUUACAUUUGAAGUUUGUGACCAUUUAUAUGCUAAUUAUAAUCGUAUGUAACCAAGUUUGUUUUAAUUGUGGCUAGUUAUGAUGAAGUUUGUCUUUAUUGUGAUUGUCUGUGACUAUGUGUUUUAAUUGGAAUUGUAUGUAAUCAAAUCUAUGUUAACAGUGACAUAUGUAACUAGACAUCUAUUAAGAGUGAAUAGUUUUUACAAAUUCUGUUUACAUUUAAAGUUUGUGAUCAUUUAUACAUUAAUUGUGAUCAGUAAUGUGUUGUAACCUAUAGUCUAAUGAUGACAUGUUAUUAAAAAUCAGAAAUGCUACUGGUACAUUAAGGCAUCCAUCAUGAUAUCCAACCUGAUGACGUGGCAUUUUUUUGCCCCAAUUUCUUGCGCCCAUAAGGAAGACAAAAAAUAAAAACGCACAAGCCAUCGCGAGCCCUAGCCUCUCUUUCAUUUUCAUUCAUUCACUCCCUCCACUCACUGCCCACCUCCUGCAGGCCCUUCGUCACCGUUCCCGGAGCUCGACGACGGCGACGCCGUCGACAGUCAGUUCCAGAACGAGCCCAGCGUCUGUCUCCAUUUUCACGUUCAAUCCGGUGUCAAUUCCCAGAAGCUCCACUCACUGCCCACUGCCUGCAACCACACCCUUCCUUCAUCCUCGGCGCCCAACGACGGCGUCUCCGCCUCCUCAAAGCAGUCGGCACCCUCAUAAUGGAAGGGUUUGCAGAGCAAUUUCUGUCGUUCCCCGAUGUGGUUGCCGGCCGAUUUGAAGACACCACCGGUUCAAAUGAGAACGAUAGGUAUAUUGAAGGAGGACAUGAUGUUUAGGACAACAUGGUUGCAGAGAUCGCCGACCACGGAGUGGAUGAUGGCAUUCUUGAAGGAGUGGAUGUUAGCUUGUCUAAUAUUGUGGGUGACGAUGAUUUGGCCAACAAAAUGGCAGUUGUUGAAAAUGAGAUAGUCGUGCCUACAGUUGGUAUGAAAUUUGCGAACGAGAUUGAGGUAUUCGAAUUCUACAAGAAAUAUGCUUAUCAUGUAGGAUUUCCUGUUAGAAAACAAACUACAAAGAGGGGAGAUGAUGGGAUAGUAUGGAGUGUAAGUUUUACCUGUAGUCGAGAAGGGCUACAAAAUCGUAACCAAAGCACUUCCUUGAAUCCUCCACCAACAAUCUAAACUGGGUGUAAAGCUAGAUUGACUGCGUCCUCUGAUGCACGUGGAAUAUUUCGAAUAAAUGUUGUGCAUUUAGAGCAUAACCAUAAAACAAGCCCAUCUAAGUCUAGGUUGUACAAAUGUAAUAGGCAAGUUAGUGAAUGUGUGAAAAGAAGGCUUGAGGUAAAUGACAUAGUAGGAAUACCAUUACAUAAGAGCUUUAAUUCAACUGUAGUGGAGGCAGGUGGUUUUGAUAACAUGACAUGUAUUGAGAAAGAUUGCAGAAACUUCAUCAAGAAAGUGCGGCGUUUAAGACUUGGGGAAGGGGAUGUCGUUGCAAUCCAAGCAUAUUUCUCAAAAAUGCAAACUCGUAGUCCUGGUUUUUUCUUUUGUAUGGACUUGGAUGAUGAUUGUUGGUUGAGAAAUGUGUUUUGGGCAGAUAACAGAUGUCGUGAAGCAUAUAAGGAAUUUGGGAAUGUCGUUACAUUUGAUACCACAUACCUCACUAACAAGUAUGAUAUGCCUUUUGCUCUUUUCGUGGGAGUCAAUCACCAUGGGCAGUCAACUCUUCUUGGUUGUGGUUUGGUUUCAAAUGAAGAUAUUGACACAUUUGUUUGGUUAUUUCGGACAUGGCUAGAAUGCAUGAAUGGUCAAGCCCCUAAUGAAAUAAUUACAGAUCAAGAUCGAGCUAUGUAAAAUGCUAUUCAAAUUGUCUUUCCUAACACAAACCAUAGAUGGUGCUUAUGGCAUAUACUAAAGAAGUUACCGGAAAAGUUUGGCUAUCACAAAGCCAAAUGCUCAAUAUUGCAUGCUAUACAUGUGUUAGUUUACGACACUUUAAUUUGUGAAGAAUUUGAGGUUGGUUGGUUGAAUAUGCUUGAUCAUUUCGAAUUACAAGAUCAUGACUGGUUGAGUGGACUCUAUAAAGAGAGAAGUCGUUGGGUACCAUGUUACCUAAACACUACAUUUUGGGCCGGUAUGUCAACCACACAAAGGAGUGAGAGCAUGAAUGCAUUUUUCGAUGGCUAUGUGCAUUCGAAAACUUCUUUGAAGCUUUUUGUUGAGCAAUAGGAGCAGGUGUUGCGAAGUAAAGUGGAGAAAGAAUUUCAAACUGAUUUUAGAUCAUUUUCACAAAUGAUUCCAUGUGCCACUAAGUACGAUAUGGAGAAACAAUUUCAAAGUGUGUAUACUAUCACAAAAUUUAGAGAGUUCCAACAAGAAUUCACGGGGAAGGUAUACUGUGAAGUCUUAUCUACGGCAGACUUUCCUGGGCAAACGAAGUACUAAGUACGUAAGGAUAUCAUUCUCAGUGAAGGAAUGAAGAAAAGAAUAUUUACAGUUCAUUUCCGUAGAGAUAGUUGUGAGAUUGAGUGCAAUUGUCAUUUGUUUGAGUUUCGAGGCAUCAUUUGCAAACACUCAAUAUCAGUUUUUAAUUCAGAAUGACGUACAAUUGCUUCUGGAGAAGUAUGUCUUGCGGAGAUGGAGGCAAGAUGUUAGUAGACCAUAUAUGCGGGUUCCAGCGACGUACGAUGGUUUGGUUUGUACAACUGAACAAUUAAGGUACGAGAGAUUGUGUCAUGCUUUUACCAAGAUGGCAGACUUAGUAGCGCGAAACGAAGAACGGUCCAAUCAUCUGUUGGGGUGGAUUGAAUUCCAAACAAAUCAAUUAUCUAAUUUAGACAUUGGUAGCUCGGGUUUGCAUGUGCCUGAAGCUCGAAAUGAUGAAAUCCUGAACAUUCUGGACCCGAAGCUUAUGAAAAGAAAGGAUGACCCAAAAAAAUUGCGCAAAAAGAGUCCGUUGGAGGCGAGUUCAAAAAAAUCAAAGGAUCGAAAAAAGGUUCCAGCAAACACACAAAAUGAUGACGAGCCCGAAGAUCACUGCAUCUUAUCUUCUCAAACACAUCAGCCUUUUGUAACGCAAGAGAGUGUUGACGGUCUUUGACGUUUGUAAUGAAAUCCGUGAAUAUGGGAUGAGGCAGAAUCUAGUAUCUUUAUGGAUGUGUUCUUUUUUUCCAAGAUGUACAGCCUCUUUAUUUUGAUCAUGGCUAUUUUGAAUUAGCUUCUUGUACUUUUGUUAUAUAAACAUUAGUAAUAUGGCUUCUUGCACUUUUGAUUUCAUUUAGUGAUGCAUAAACAUUUUAAAUUA